rnacentral:rRNA from 1 species
UACGAAGGGGGCUAGCGUUGCUCGGAAUUACUGGGCGUAAAGCGCACGUAGGCGGCUUCUUAAGUCGGUGGUGAAAUCCUGGAGCUCAACUCCAGAACUGCCUUCGAUACUGGGAGCUCGAGUCCGGGAGAGGUGAGUGGAACUGCGAGUGUAGAGGUGAAAUUCGUAGAUAUUCGCAAGAACACCAGUGGCGAAGGCGGCUCACUGGCCCGGUACUGACGCUGAGACGCGAAAGCGUGGGGAGCAAACAGG